rnacentral:rRNA from 1 species
CAUGGAGGGUGAGAAUCCCGUUCGGUUGAUCAGAUUCGCUUUACGAUACGUUAUCAAAGAGUCAAGUUGUUUGGGAUUGCAGCUUAAAAUGGGAGGUAAAUUUCUCCUAAGGCUAAUAACGGCGAGAGACCGAUAGCGAACAAGUACCGUGAGGGAAAGAUGAAAGGAACUUUGAAAAGAGAGUUAAACAGUACGUGAAAUUGUUGAAAGGGAAACGAUUGAAGCCAGUCGUACCUUCGGGUAAUCAGCCUUUUGGGUGUGAUUUUGUGGAGCGUGAAGAGUUAAACGCCUUCAUGCCUGCAUAUUCGUGCACUUUGGGUGUACUUGCCCGUAUGGUUGGUUAACAUCAAUUUUGGUGGUCAUAAAAUGACUGGAGGAAUGUAGCUUCGAUCUCGUAUUGAAGUGUUAUAGCCUCCGGUAGAUGUGAUGAUCGAGAUUGAGGAUUGCAACGGAUACCCUUCGGGGCUACCUGUCUGAUCUCUGAUCGUUGCUCUGGUGCCGAAAGCUUGCUUACGGUUAUCAAAGUCGAUGGUCAAUAGGUUAGAACGGGUUAAAUUCGUUAAGGAUGUUGACGUAAUGG